AGUGAACGCUGGCGGUAGGCCUAACACAUGCAAGUCGAACGGCAGCACAGUAAGAGCUUGCUCUUACGGGUGGCGAGUGGCGGACGGGUGAGGAAUAUAUCGGAAUCUACUUUUUCGUGGGGGAUAACGUAGGGAAACUUACGCUAAUACCGCAUACGACCUACGGGUGAAAGCAGGGGAUCUUCGGACCUUGCGCGAUUGAAUGAGCCGCUGUUGGAUUAGCUAGUUGGCGGGGUAAAGGCCCACCAAGGCGACGAUCCGUAGCUGGUCUGAGAGGAUGAUCAGCCACACUGGAACUGAGACAGGGACCAGACUCCUAAGGGAGGCAGCAGUGGGGAAUAGUGGACAAUGGGCGCAAGCCUGAUCCAGCCAUACCGCGUGGGUGAAGAAGGCCUUCGGGUUGUGAAGCCCUUUUGUUGGGAAAGAAAAGCAGCAGGUUAAUACCCAGCUGUUCUGACGGUACCCAAAGAAUAAGCACCGGCUAACUUCGUG
rnacentral:rRNA from 1 species